rnacentral:lncRNA from 1 species
CAUGACUCAUCCUGGGUUUUUUAUUCUUUUUUUUUUUUUUGCCCCUUUUUAAGGAUUUGAAAGAAAAGAAGGAAGUUGUGGAAGAAACAGAAAAUGGCAGGGAUGCUCCCGCCAACGGCAAUGCCAACGAGGAAAAUGGCGAGCAGGAGGCGGACAACGAGGUAGAUGACGAAGAGGAAGAGGUUGGCGACGAAGAGGAGGAUGAGGAAGAAGGUGACGGCGAAGAAGAGGACGGCGAUGAAGAUGACGAGACCGAAGGUCCGACCGGAAAACGGGCAGCUGAGGACGAUGAGGACGACGACGUCGAUCCGAAGAAGCAGAAAACCGACGAAGACGACUAGGGAGUAGAAUAAUAAAAAAGAAAGAAACAACUUUUUUUUAAACUUA